AUGGAGGAGGAGCUGAGUCAGAUGGAGCCCGGCGCGAAGGUGACGCUGCAGCGGCAGGCGUCGUCGGGGUCCCUGACGCAGGGCCCGUCGGGGGAGCUCCGGCGGCAGACGUCGCUGGAGUCGUCCCCCCGCUCGGGGCGCGGCGGGAACCGGCACCUGUUCGGGCGGCAGUCGUCCAUGGACCCCAACCGGCGGCGCGGCCGGAGCCAGAGCCCCGUGGGCUCCCAGGCCGACCAGGACCUCGCCGUGCCGGACAACCUCGACUCCACCAUGCAGCUGCUCUUCCUCGCCUGCCAGGGCGACGCGCCCGGCGUCGAGGCACUGCUCCGCGGCGGCGUCGACGUCAACAGCAUCAACCUCGACGGCCGCACCGCGCUGCACGUCGCCGCCUGCGAGGGCCACCGCGAGGUCGUCAGCGUGCUGCUCGACUGGCAGGCCAACAUCGACGCCCGCGACCGAUGGGGCAGCACGGCCGUGGCCGACUCCAAGUGUUACGGCCACAUGGACAUCUAUGAUCUUCUGAAAUCUCAUGGUGGAAAGGCCCCGAGAAACAGGAGGACGCCGAUGAUGGCGUCGAACCCCGGGGAGAUACCGGAGUACGAGUUGAACCCCGGCGAGCUCCAGUUCCGGAAAGGGGACGAAGUGCUCAAGGGCACGUACCAAGUUGCAAAAUGGAACGGAACCAAGGUCUCCGUUAAAAUAGUCGACAGAGAAACCUACUCCGAUCAGGAAGCCAUAAACUCUUUCAGGCAUGAGCUGACGGUGUUCGAGAAGGUCCGGCAUCCGAACGUCGUUCAGUUCAUCGGAGCCGUCACGCAGAACAUACCCAUGAUGAUUGUUUCUGAAUACCAUGCAAAUGCUGAUUUAGGAAGCCUUAUUCAGAGGAAAGGAAGGCUGAAUGGCCAUAAGGUGCUGAGAUAUGCCCUUGACAUUGCCAGGGGCAUGACUUAUCUGCAUCAGUGCAAGCCAGACCCCAUCAUCCACUGCGACCUAAAGCCAAAAAAUAUCUUCCUGGAUAAUGGAGGCCUAAUGAAGGUCGGGGGGUUCGGGCUGAUGAGGCUGUCCAAGAUGGCUCCUGACAAGGUGAAACUGAUGAACCACGAGGCCAUCGUCGACACCUUCAGUUACUACACUGCGCCUGAGAUGCACAGGAACGAGGUGUUCGACAUGAGCGUCGACGCGUACGCAUUCGGCUUCAUCCUUUACGAGAUGGUUGAAGGACUACCCAACAUGGAAUCCACAACCGUCAUAGCCCGAUGCGAGGGGAUGCGGCCGUCGCUGAAGAACAAGCUCAAGGGGUACCCUUCAGACUUCAAAGGGCUGAUCGAGGAGUGCUGGGACACGCACCCGAUGGCGCGGCCGACGUUCUCGGAGAUGAUCGUCCGGCUGGACAAGAUCUACGCGCACUGCAUGAAGCACGGGGCCUGGAAGGAGUCGCUCAAGAUCUGGAAAUGA
rnacentral:rRNA from 1 species